rnacentral:rRNA from 1 species
ACCGAUUGCAAUAGCUUCCUGGUUUUGACAUGCCCGGGGAGCGUCUCCAAAUUGGAGGUCAAUCCUGCGGGUUUUCCAAACAUGGUCUGGGGGAGGUUCCCGGUGCCCGGCAAGAUUGUGGAAUGGGGUGAAUUCCCUGAACCUGUUGGUGGGGAGGUUGCUGCAGUCUCAUUUUGCCAGAGUUCACAUGGAGCACACUGCCUAACCAACAGGGUGCCGCUGGACUCUUUUCCAAUCCAAACUAUGGCGCUACACCGGGGAUUACUUGGCCUCCUAUCUUCUGAAAAAUGCGAAGACUUGCUGUGGCAUCCGACAGGAGGUUCCCUGAUCCCCCUGGGAGCUCGCGAAUUACUUUUGAUUUACGGUGCGAAUUAUAGUGGUCUUCCCCCCCCUUUUCUUAUAAUGGAAUCCCUAGUGACCGGGUGUCAACAUCGCGCGGUGAAUACGUCCCUGCUAAUAUGUACACACCGCCCGUAAAAA